GCUGCAUCCCAGCCUCGCACAUGACGGGAUUUGCUUCUGUCCAUCAUCUGGGUCAUAUAUAGUUCAAUUCAAGUGGAGCAGACAGGGCUGGGAGGAAAUCUGGAGGGGUUCAAUUGCCUGUCUAGCCUGCCUGCCUGCCUUGCAAGCGAGCAGGAGACACGCUUACGGGUGCCUUCGCCACACCGAAAUCUCCUCGGGUGCUAUUUCCGUACCUUUCGAUCCCACGCCGUGCCGCAGGAAGAAUCGCGGCGGCUGCUUCCACCCUGGUUGUGGUUGCCGUCUCCUCUCCGUCUGCACCAGAUGCAACUUUGGAGGGACAGAAUAAUGCACGCACGUUCUCCCUGCCUUCCCACCAAAAAGAAAGCAACUGGACGACGGUUUUGGAGACCUUUUUCUAUUGCUAGGUAAGAAUUUUAAUCCUUUCCCGAGCCUCAACGUGAACGGGACUGGCUUAGAGCGCGGCAGGCGCCUGCUCUGCGCAUGGAAACACCACCAGUACAUUUUCUUCUGGACUCAUUUCUGCACGUGCUCCUUUGUUCUCACAACAGAAGCUUUUUCUACACAUCGCGCAGCUGGAGGGAGUCCAAAAGGCAGGCGAGAUCGGACAAAUUCUCCAGCCUCGGUGAAAACGGCUUCAUUUUAAUUCUUUGGAAAGGGGACUUUUUUCCCCCAAGAUUGGGAGGAAAGAAUUCUACACCAUUUGAAGUUUUGAGCAGCGGAAAUAAAUCCUCGGGUUGGAUGUAACCGAAUCCCCGGCGUAGCCCGGAGGCGAGCGAGAGAGAGGCGAGGAGGAACUGAGCCAGACACGGACAAAGGCAGGAGCCUUCUCCAGACAGCACAGGUCGCUCUGGAGGCCAGCCCUGGACCAGACAGAAAAAAAGAGAAGAAGACAUAAAAACACAACUAGAAAGAGGAACAUAAUGAAUACAUAUGAAUGUACUAUUGAAAAGGCAAAGGAGCUGGACAGCAAGGCAGUUGACGCGAAUGAGAUCAGGCAGAAGCAGGAGUGUUUGGUGCCGUGACUCUUGAGGUGUUUGGACAACACAGAGGAAUGAACUUCAAGAUCUCAAUGGCAACUCAAGAGAAGAAGAAAGAAGACCCAAACCGGUGACUGGUUGUACAGUGCGGGGGCUUAGCUGGGCUCUGCUUUGCUUCACAACUGCAAAAGAGCCAAGAGGAUUUCAAAGACGUGCCUUGAUCAUUCUCCUGGGAAGUUCCUGAAAGACGGGUGUGCCAUGGACAUACAAGAUUUCUGAAGGCGGAAGCAGUUGCUUCUCUGGAACAACAGAGAUGCUCUGCCUAACUUUACGUGGCAACCAUUAGCAGCUUUCCACUCUGGGAAUCUCUGCCAAAAACUUACAUUUUUUCAACUAAUCACAUCGUGCCACACUUGCGUUCCGAACAACAAGCUGUCACUGGUGAUCUUCACCUAAGUUUGCUUCUGGAAACAAGCAACCACAUCCCUCCUACCUUCAAGUAAGUUGUUUUCCUUCAUAUGGUGGCAACUUACAAUGAUCAGUUAUAGUAGACUGGACUCUCAGGUCAAUGCCAUUGGCUUGCCAGAACACAGAGGUAUUCAUCCCACAUUCUCCCUGUCUCUAACUAUAGCAGAGUUUUACUUAUCCAAGCUAAACGGGCCGGCAGAACCUUGGAUAAGCGAAUAUCUUGGAUUUUUUUUUUUGUGUCAGGAGCAACCGGAGUUGUUUCUGGAGUGAGAGAAUUGGCCAUCUGCAAGGAUGUUGCCCAGGGGACAUUGCCCGGAUGUUUUGAUGUUUUACCAUCCUUGUGGGAGGCUUCUCUCAUGUCCCCGCAUGGAGCUGGAGCUGAUAGAGGGAGCUCAUCCGCGCUCUCCCCGGGUGGGAUUGGAACCUGGCAGUCUUCAGGUCAGCAACCCAACCUUUAAGUCACAAGGCUUUUAUCCCCUAGGCCACCAGAGGCUCCAAUAUCUUGGAUAAUAAGGAGGGAUUAAGGAAAAGCCUAUUAAACAUCAAAUUAGGUUAUCAUUUUACAAAUUAAGCACCAAAACAUUAUGCUUUACAACAAAUUUGAAAGAAAAAGUAGUUCAAUACGCAGUUAUGUUAUGUUGUAAUUACUGUAUUCAUGAAUUUUGCACCAAAAUAUCACAAUAUAUUGAAAACAUUGACUACAAAAAAUGCCUUGGAUAAUCCAGAACCUUGGAUAAGUGAAGCUUGGAUAAGUGAGACUCUACUGUAGUUCUCUUUUGCCUAUUCUUUUUCUAGCCUGUCCCAAAACAGAGGGAGAGAAGCAGAGGGCCCGUGGCACAUUGGUGGGUGGGGGUCCUUAUUAUUAUUAUUAUUAUUAUUAUUAUUAUUAGCUAUAUUUAUAUCCGGCCCUUCUCACCCCGAAGGGGACUCAGGGCGAUUUACAAGUAUAUAUACAGACAAUAUAUUAUAUUAUACAACUAUAUUGCAAUAUUAUUAGUAAUAUUGCAUGUAUUUUAUUUAUUUAUUUGCUACAUUUAUAUGCCGCCCUUCUCACCCCGAAGGGGACUCAGAGCGGCUUACAAAUUAAAUUUACAUACAAUAUUAUAUUAGUAUAGUACAAUACUGGUAACAAAUUACUAUAUUGUACUGUAUCAACAUAUUGUAAUAUUAUUAGUAAUAUUACAUGUAAAAUAUGAUAUAUAAUUAAUAUUAUUAUAUUGUAUUAUUAGUAUUAUAUCAUAUUACAAUAUAAUAUUAUGAAUAUUAUAUGUAUAUACAAUAUGUUAUAAUUACUACAUAUUAUUGUAAAUUAUAUUGUAUAUAUAUAUUUAUAUAUAAACACACUAAAUAUGUGUGUGUGUGUGUGUGUGUGUGUGUAUAUAUAUUUAUGUAAUAUAAAUAUACAAUUAUAGUAGUGAAUUAUAAUUAUUAUUACAUUGUAUUACAUCAUAAUAUUAUUAUUAAUAUUACAUGUAUAUACAGUAUUAUUAUAAUAUUAGUAUAGUAUAAUAUUAUUAUAUAUUAUUAUAUCAUUAAAUUGAUACAGGAGACUAUACAGGAUACUAUUCGAGGGAGGGUCUAACCUGAAAUUAUAGCAACACGCACAGGUUUCUAACAUGCCACUCUUCCUACUGCCAAAGUGAUAACAAAUACCUUUCUAUCGGCAAAUCUCAAGAUGAUUGAUAGUCAAGACAAAAUCUAGCAAGUAAUACCUUUUAUGAAAAGACAUCACAAUGGUCUACUCCCGAGAAAGCAAUAAUUUGCCUCCGUACAAGAGUAGAAAGGAAGGAAGAGUGUUGUAUGCAAUUGCCAAGAAUGAACUUGGAAAAUCCAUAAUGUUUAGGUUGUGUGUGUGUUUCUGGCUGGCAGGGACCUGAAUAACACAAAGAGCUCCGGCCAGGCAAAUGGCCACAGGAUAGCUUCAGUGAACAUUCAACGCUGUCGGUGAGUUUGGAAUCGAGAGCAAACCAUCGACCGUUGACUGUACCUUGAGGUUUAUCACUGACACGUGGGACAACUGUCAAGCUGCCACGUCUGGAAAGGUUGGUUAAGUGGGUUACGAUGCCUGUGUCCCAGCCAACAACCAAACCAGCAUAUUUCCACUAUAUUGAUACCUUCAACACAUUCUCGACCCAUCCCGGCUCACUCGACAAGAAUAGCAAAUAUGCAACUUUGGCAUGAGAGAGAUGAUGGAGUGUCCUCACAUAUUUCACACUGAACGUAACAACUUCUAUGCAUCAGGCCUACACGAGUAUGUGCAUGCAGAUACACACUCCUGAAUCCACCAGGAUGGGCCCACGCAAGCCCAGGUGCCUCAGCAAAUCGGCCACAAUGCUAGCAAAAGAAGCUUGUCAGAAAACAAAACUUUGUUCUUAGGACAGGUAUUUUCCUGCUUGGACACAGGUGAAUGAAACACAUUUUCCUUAUUUUAAAGGGAAAAUGACUUUUUUUGCCCACAGCAUCAGGAGUGGUAGGGACCCUUGGAAAAGCUGUCUUCUGCACAAAACAAACAUGUGUCAUUUUUUUUUUUUUUUGCAAAAAUGGCUUCCAGGCUGCAAAUAGUUUCCAAAGAUUUCUUUUGAAGCUGGAAGAAAAAUCCUAAAAUUACGUGUUGCUUCCUUCAUGAAGAAACGUAGCGAAGAAUGACAUCUCUUUGGGACCCUUCAUACCGUAAAGGGAAUCAUGUAUUGCCUGAUCUUGGAAGCCAAGCAGGAUCAAAUACCAGAUGCCAUGAGCUAUCUCAGAGGAAGAAACUGACAGAACCACCUCUGAGUAUUCCUUGCCUUGCCUUGAGAGGAACAUACAGCCCACAAAGCACUCAGAUAACGGCUGCAAUCAACAUUCAUUGCUGUCGGUGGGUUUUAGGUUCAGUCAGCUCUCUGACCAAUGAAUGCAAACUGCAGACCAGAUAACGACAAAGACGUAGAGGAUGGAGCAUACGGUGAAGAGUCUGUAGAAGAGAGGCUUCUUCUCCAAGGACCACCACAUCUGAGAGUUGCGUUCCAGCCCUUCCAAAGAGUGCUGGGUGUAGCUACUUUGUUUUGGUGAGGGAUAAGGAGUGAAUGUAGAGGGCUAUCCAGAAAGUAGAUUACGUUUUGGAAUCAAAAAUGAACAAAGCAUAGGAGAAAACAUUUACCCUAUGCAGUUGAAAGCCAGAUCCAAAUACCACUUCUCAACAUAGUCCCCAUUGAAAUCUAGGCACUUCUCAUAGCGAUAAAAGAGUUUGGAAAGUCCUUCCCCACCAAACUUUGCCGCUUAGCUUGCGUCCUCAACCAGGCAGGUGUCCCUUCCCGCAGCUGCGCAUGUGCAUGCGCUCAACUUUCCCCCACACUCGUCCUGGAUCGCUCUUCUGUUUUGCAAGGAAGGUUAUGGCAACCUUUUUUUGGGGCAGGAAAGAUGUGCUUCUUGCAAAACCUUAGAAAAAGGGAAAGUUGAGCACAUGCACAUGCGCAGCUGCGGGAGGGACGCCCGCCUGGUUGAGGACCCAAUGUGAUCUUAAAUGAAUCUAUUGCCGUUUAUCUAUUUAAAAUUUGUAAUUCAUAAUGUGCACCUUGCUUAUCCGCUAUUGCAAUCUCAUUGUUUUUAAUUCGAUGUUUUAAUACCACGUUGUGUUUUUUCGGCUGCUGUGUAUAUAUUAUUAUUGGUUUUUAUUAUUGCUCUUUGAUGUUUCAUAUUUUAUUUUAUCAUUGUUUUGUACCUGAUUUUGCUGUAAGCCGCCCUGAGUCCCCUUUGGGGGAGAUGGAGGCGGGAUAUAAAUAAACUACUUAUUAUUAUUAUUAUUAUUAUUAUUAUUAUUAUUAUUAUUAUUAUCAUCAUCAUUAUUAUUGAGGACGCAAGCCAAGCGGGCUGUGGUGCAGGCUGGAUAGCAGCCAGCUGCAACAAAUCACUCUGACCAAGAGAUCAUGAGUUCGAGGCCAACCCGUGCCUGCGUCUCUGUCUCUGUUCUAUGUUAUAGCAUUGAAUGUUUGCAUUAUAUGUGUGCAAUGUGAUCCACCCCGAGUCCCCUUCGGGGUGAGAAGGGCGGAAUAUAAAUACUGUAAAUAAAUAAAUAAGAGUGAUCCAGGACGAGUGUGGGGGAAAGUUGAGUGCAUGCACAUGCGGAGCUGCGGGAAGGGAUGCCCACCUGGUUGAGGACGCAAGCCAAGCGGCAAAGUUUGGUGGGGAAGGACUUUCCAAACUCUUUUUAUCGCUAUGAGAAGUGCCUAGAUGUUGAGAAGUGGUAUUUGGGUCUGGCUUUCAAUUGCAUAUGGUAAAUGUUUUCUCCUAUACUUUGUUCAUUUUGAAUUCCAAAACGUAAUCUACUUUCUGGAUAGCCCUCGUAAAAGCCAGAGUCUCAUUUCAAAGCUAAUUGCACACACAUCUUGUCAUUAACAACACCAGGGGCUGAGGGAAAUCCCCAAAGCUGUCCAGGCAGACAGACAAAGCGGUAAGAAUCAGAGCAAUCCCUUAAUGCUGAGUGUGUUGCGUGGCUGGCUGCCAUCUAGCGGACGUCUGCCCUCCACACAUGACCUAAACAAGCCUGUCACCACUAGAUGGGGAUCGGAGCAGUCCCUGCGACAUUCAAUGCAGUCAUUCAGGAACCGAUUAACAACGGGGAAGGGAGGCAGCCAAACCUCUGGAGGACAGGGAUUUCCCUUUUCUUUCCCAGCAGCCCUCCUGAAGAAGCUGUGCCUAACUUCCAAGGAGAAAACAAAGCACAGACCUUGCCAUUUAAGAAGAAAAAGUGGUACUUACUGCCUGUGUUCAAGGGGAGCACGGAAGAAGGGGAGUUCAUCUGUUCGACAUCUGUAACUGGGAAGAGAAGGGAGGCAGAGCCUUAGAAAUGCUGCUUUCCCGUGUUGGGAAAUUAAUUAAACCAAAAUUUGGAAAAGAGUAGCAUAUCCAGAUUCUGAAAAGUGGCUCGAUUAGUUCUAGACAGUUCCGAACUGCAUUGCAAAUACGCAAGGUAAACUCAUAUGUGCGAUUUCACAGACACCACGAGGAAGAAUUGAUGCUCGACUCUUGAACAAAUGGCUUUUUAAAAACAUGUUCAUGUUUCCCCCUCUCAGCAGGUGCAGAUCCACCUUCAAGGGACAGGAGAGCCUCGUUCUUCCCCCUCAAAUUCCUCCCAAAAUUAAAGCCCACAGCACCAAAGUGAACGUGGCUGGGCACAGAAGUCCCUGCUUUCCGCAGGGCCUAAACCAGUGGUCCUCAGCCUGUGGGUCCCCAGGUGUUUUGACCUACAACUCCCUGAAAUCCCAGGCAGUUUACCAGUUGUUAGGAUUUCUAUGAGUUGAAGGCCAAAACAUCUGGGAACCCACAGGUCUGAACACACUCUCUCCUAAAUGCUAGUUCUCUCUCCGACUCCAAGACCUCUGGCGCACUGGGAGAGAAAGGCCUAGAUUGGGCACGAAUUUAGGGAAACUAGCCCCCAGUUCAAAAAAAAAAAAAGAGAGGACCAGAGAACAAAAGUCUUCUUGACUCUGAAGACCAGCUGUUGCUAGUCCAGCUUGGUGCCCUUUGCCCUCUCCUCUGGCCAAUAAGUGAACAGCGGCAAUUGUUGCCUUGCAUUCUGUGCUGUUUACAAGGCCUACGUGGCAUGAAAGGAAUUAAUAAUUCAGCUCUGCGGAGCUGAUGACCUUUAUUGGGGUGCCUCCUCUCGGCUGCUGCAGCAAAGCCACGGGGUAGCUUUAAAAAGUGUCCAGCUUUACAGCCUAAUUGGGCACCAUAACAUAAAUCAAUUAUUUCUCCUGUUUUAAGGAACAAUGCCAGCCAUUCUUCUCCGGGGCUCCGGCUCCAGCUCCCCUUGGGUCACGCCUGGCCCCUUGGUUCUUUCGAGUUUUACAACUGUAUAGUAAACACGGGCGGAGGAGAGAAGUCCUGGCCGGCGCUGGAGGAUCGGGGCUCUUGGGGAAGGCGGCAGGGAGGAAAAGGUUGCCCUGGCCUGAACUUCUCCUGACCCCUCGACUGCCCUUGUCCGGGCUCAUGCUAGUGGAAGGGGGGCACGGGGGGCGCACAAGAAGCCAGGGCCUUCCCCACAGAAAUGAACUUAGCCUGAACCUGUGGCAGAGGCCGUUGACUUUGAAGGCUUUCCGCUAACUGGGGGUGACUCUUCCGCCUGCCCCCCCACAAAGACCGAACCACGCCUUCCUCGGCCACAUGUAUCUUACCAUGGGAUGGAAAAUUAUGCAGACCACCCCACCUGGCAGUCAUAGCUUCCCAAGCUCCACGUUCUUCAGAGGAGGCACUUCUGUUAUUCCCACUGCACUAUGUGGUGGGAGUAUGAAACAGGGCCUCUGCAGUGAGAUUGGGCUCUCUCCCCGCUGUGCUUUCAUUGUCAGGUGAGAACCUUCCUAUUCCAGCAGGUGUUUGCUUUAUAUAAUGGCUUUUAUGUAUAUAAUCAAUGACCGAGGUGUCCCCAGUAGUCCUGGUAAUAUUUAUUAAUUUAUUUACAGCAUUUAUAUUCCGCCCUUCUCACCCUGAAGGGGACUCAGGGCAGAUCACAUUACUCAUAUAGGCAAAAUACAAAGAGUCUCCCUUGUAAUGGAGAAAACUGGGACUGAAGAAAGGGGUAGGAGGUUGGGAAAAGAGCACUUUUGACACUUACCAGAAGGUGGCUCGUUUUCGGAUGAAGAUUCUCGGCAAAACCCUGAAAAACAAAAAAAAGAGACAUAUUAACUGGAUACUGCCAACGGAGACAGCUCCCAUCCAACGAGCAUGUUUAAAAAGCCAUUGCUGGACUACCUUCCCUGCCCACCCUGAGAACAUGGGACAUAGAAUCAAGGAGCCUCUGCAGCAGAAAGGCAACCAGAAAGCGAGACUCAAAACCUCUGGCAACCAAAAGGAUUGAUGUUUGACUGGCACUGAAGCCACACAAAAGGGGAUUCUCUUGCUUUCCUUCCCCAAAGAAGAACCUAGUGAGAUUGCUUUAAUGUUCCUCUGAGCAUUUAGUAUGGUGUUUUUAAUGUGCGUGCCCCAUGUGCUCCUUGCCUGCAAAUAAUGCCCAGAUAUUGAAAAAACAUAACUUGUUCAAUGGGAUGAUUACCAAUCUGCCAUAUGAGCCUCACUCUUUUCGUAGUUAACACCAUGAUUUCCUUUAAGGAGGGUUGGACAACUGCAGGAGGGCCCGGCCCCCAUUUUCCGCUAUGGGGCCCUUCUGGAAGCCAAACAAGCCAAAAAUCUUCCUCUUCCAAAACCAAACCAAACCAAACCAGGAGAAGCCUAUGUCGUGAAGCUGGAAAAAUGCUAAAUGCUUCUGUGUCUGUCUAUACUGUAUGUUGUUUGUCUGUUGGCAUUGAAUGUUUGCCAUAUAUGUGUUCAUUGUAAUCCACCCUGAGUCCCCUUCGGGGUGAGAAGGGCGGAAUAUAAAUACUGUAAAUAAUACUGUAAAUAAUGUCUGGUUUUGCAAAAUGGACACAAUGGAGAGGCAGUUUUCUUAGAAUAAUAAUAAUAACUUUAUUUUUA